AUUGAACGCUGGCGGAAUGCCUAACACAUGCAAGUCGAGCGGAGUAGCAAUAAUCAGCGGCGGACGGGUGAGGAAUACAUAGGAACUUGCCUUUAGGUGGGGGAUAGCUUGGGGAAAUUUAAGGUAAUACCGCAUGAUCUCGCAAGUGCAACGGGGCGCGAGUCUACCCUUUCGAGAGGCCUAUGUCUGACUAGCUAGUUGGCGGUGUAAUAGACCACCAAGGCGACGAUCAGUAACUGGGCUGAGAGGACGAUCAGUCACACCGGAACUGAGACACGGGCCGGAAUGCUACGGGAGGCAGCAGGGGGGAAUGUUGGACAAUGGGCGAAAGCCAGAUACAGCAAUUCCGCGUGUGUGAAGGAGGCCUUCGGGUUGUACAGCACUUUAGUGAGGGAAUAAACAGCGUGGCCAAACCAAGCCUUGACGGUACCGCAAGAAUAAGCACCGGCUAACUCUGUGCCAGCAGCCGCAGUAA
rnacentral:rRNA from 1 species